rnacentral:lncRNA from 1 species
UUUUUUUUUUUUUUUUUUUUUUUGCUUGUGGUCUAACAGACAUUUUGGAGUCUUAGCUUUAAAUAAAUAAUAAGAGCGAAGUGACUCUAUCGAUGUAGCUCUCAGAUUUUAUGAUUUCCCUCUCCCUCCCCACCUCUACCAUCUGCUACAUGACCUGCCUUACAGAGGAGAGUGGAGAAGGCCAUGGAAUCUACUGAGUGUUUUCAAUAUGACGCCUCCUUUAACCUUCCACUAAGGCAGACAUGGUCAUCCCAGUUAUUCGGAUGGGAAAUCAAGGCUUCCAGACAAUAGGUGACACACCUAAGAUCACAGAGCCAGUGAGUGGAGAACUGGGACUUCCAAUCUAGAUUUAUCUUUGCUCCAACAUUCUGGGAAAUCCCAUCAAACAUUAUCUAAAAGGGGAAGGAGGAGACCAGGGAAAAGUUAAAGCAAAGGACCUUAAAACUGGAAAAUAGGAGAACAUUGGCCAUGGAAAGUAGGGGGAAGGUGGAAGGGCUGAAUUAUUUUCCACCAUUUCCGCUAAUGGGCAUCUUGGAAUUCCAUAGAGCUGAUCCAGCAAAAUCCUCAGAUAGUUUCUCCCUACAGAUCAUGAACAAGGGCUUGCAAAGAAUCAAGCUCUGGUCGGUAAAGUUACCAGCAUUGUCUGUCUUGAAAUUUAUCUUCUUGAUACUGCUUGCAUUUUUGGCUUCCUUUCUAGGAAGGAGAGGAACAGUGUAGCAAAUAAUGAUGUUAAUAGUUAACAUUUACUAAGAACUUUGAACAUAACAGGUAAGCAUCUAAUCUAGUGCUUCUCAAACUGCUCUUGGGGAAGGACUCACCUUCCUUUUUUAUUUAUUUAUUUUUUAAUCCAGUCUGUCAUGGACUGUUGUUGCUCUAUUGAAAUAUGAUAAAAGUUGAUUAGUAGAAAUACAAAUUUGUAAACUGACAUAGAAUAUAAAGCCCCAUUUUGUAUUAUGAUUGGAGUCAAUGUGCAUCAAAAUUAUUCUCUCUGUAGGUCAGUGUCAGUAUUUAUCAAAUCAUGAACUGGGAUGAAAUACAGGAUGAAGACUGGCAUGGUCUAUGGGCCAUACUUUGAGUAGCCCUUCCUUAAGCAACUAUAAUCCUUCUUGGAAGGAUGAUUUUCCUCAUGCUGCAGGGGAAGGGAUGGAGACACAGGCAUUACCUUCUCAAGGCUGCAGACCUAGUGAGAGGAGCAGCCCUCAUGAAAGGCAGGCAGCUGGUUCCAGGACCUUCCCUGUAAACCUCUCUACAUUGUCUGGACAUUGUGCAUAGGGUUUUGGACUUAAAAGGAGAUAGACUGCAUGCAAGUCCUCACUUGCUCUUUUAGCACCUGUAUGACAUUAGGAAUUAAUGACAUCUCUAAGGCUGAUUGAUGGCUCCUGGCAUGAUAUAGGUGCUCCAAAAAGAGGAGCCUUUUAUUUGCAUAAGGAUAGAAUUGCAAGUGGCCCUUUGAUAAGGAUUUAGGAUAGAUAAUUGGAUUUGGUGCAGUUAUGAUUCCACGUGCCACUGUGUCUCAAUGGUCAUGUUUGUCAGAAAACACUGUAUCAGAUUUUUUUUUUAAUUCCAUGGAAGAAAUGAGGUUGAACUUUAUCAUUUUAAUAUCCCCACCCAUUUGUUACUAAGCAGAAUAAAUAUCCCUGCCCAUUUAUUACUAAGCAAAAUUUAUUACUGUGGCAGAAGUGGCCAGAUACAAAACUUAUUAGGAGAAUGGAUUUGUGUCCUCAGGGAGCUGACAAAAUCACUGUGGGGUCUGAUGCCUGGUUUUCAGUUCCAGCUUUUCCAGUGAUUAGCCAUAUGCUCUUGACUAGGUUUGUUUUUCUAAGCCUCAGUCUCUUCAUCUGUAAAAUGGGGAUGAUGAUCCUGUAACCUGUUUCAGAGUGUUGCUUUGAGGAUUCAAUGACUCCAUACAUACAAUGUACCUGACAUGGUGCCUUGUAGAUAAAAGCACUUAGCAUAUAUUAGUCAUUUUUAUUAUUGAUGCUGAUUUGGGGGGAAAUGGGGGAUUCCAAGAUUCACUUUGUGUGACCUGUAACUGAAAACUUUCCAAAAGUGGGUGAUAAUGUUUAUGGUUACUCAUUGGAACUGUAUUGCUCCAGCACCUAUACAUCCUGGGCCUCGCAUUACACAUGAUUCAUGUGAUUCUCUCAGCAUUUUACUGACCGAUGAUGAAAUCUCGGGGUGGUCAGUUACUUGCUCAGGGUUCCAUGCGUAGAGGCUCCCCAAGUGGAAGCCACGAUCCACCUGGCCGCACCCCACACUGUUUUUCACUUAAUUCUACUCAGAAGCAAAACUGCUGAUAAAUGAUGUGGUGGCCCUUACUUAGGUCUAAUUGCUGGGCUCUGUUUCACGUGCUUUAUUUGAGUCAUCUCAUUUUAUCCUCAUACCAUCCUGUACGUACUGCCAUUAUCCCCAUUUUUGUAGAUGAAAAAAUAGAGUCCAGGGAAGCAGGCCAUAAGAAUGGGACCAGGCUCGGAGCCCAGGCAGUCUGUGCUGUUGGCCACCCUAUGCUACAAGUGGGGAGAAACAAACACGGACACAGGUACGGCAGCCUGUUUCCCUUCCCCGUAAAAAUAGAGGCUUGUGUUAGGGCCCCUUUAAAGUCCCUUUUGCAACUAAAAGCCUAUGGCUCUCUAAAUAGGUGGACAAAAUACAGCUUUCCUUGUAUGUCUCCACCACGUUAGUGACCUGCUGAAAAAUGGCCAUCAUGUGAAUUUGUACUUAGGCCUCAUUUAUCCAAUUUUGGGGAAAGGGGUGAGGAUGGAGGCCCAACAGAGCAAUUUGAAGCAUGUGAUCAGCUUCUCCCUCAGGACUUAGUCCUGGAGAGCUGGUUCUCUUCCUAAACUCGGACAGCUGCAUUGUGGACCGAGAGGCUCCCCCAGCUGGAUUUCUUCUCCCACAGCUUUCCUGUACACACUGCUCCUUAGAGAAACUGCAGAUGAUUGCUUGUUGUGCAAAGUGGACACCUGGACUUGGGAGCGAAGGAGGGAUGAUUGUUUGGAGCAAGUGUGUAUCUAAAGAUUUCCCAAUUUUCCCCACGGAGCCUUUGAAUGUGUUGUUGGUCAUGGCUCAUUGGUUGGUCUACAG